AUUGAACGCUGGCGGCAUGCUUUACACAUGCAAGUCGAACGGUAACAGGCCGCAAGGUGCUGACGAGUGGCGAACGGGUGAGUAAUGCAUCGGAACGUGCCCAGUCGUGGGGGAUAACGCAGCGAAAGCUGCGCUAAUACCGCAUACGAUCUGUGGAUGAAAGCGGGGGACCGAAACGCCCCGCGCGAUCGGAGCGGCCGAUGUCGGAUUAGGUAGUUGGAGGGGUAAAGGCCCACCAAGCCAACGAUCUGUAGCUGAUCUAAGAGAACGACAAGCAACACUGGGACUGGGACACGGCCCAGACGCCUACGGGAGGCAGCAGUGGGGAAUUUUGGACAAUGGGCGCAAGUCUGAUGUAGCAAUGCCGCGUGAAGGAAGGAGGCCUUCGGGUUGUAAACUGUUUUUGUACGGAAAGAAACGGUCCGGGUUAAUACGCUGGGCUAAUGACGGUACCGUAAGAAGAAGCACCGGCUAACUACGUGCCAGCAGCCGCCGUAACAC
rnacentral:rRNA from 1 species